UAAGCUCUCAGACCACAUCAUCCAUUUGACGUGGCUUUGGACGCGGGGGUUGCUGGCUUUCUUCUCAGAGGAGGGCCUGCUCCCCUGAAAAGCAUUAGUGGUAUCUGGAGUGGAAAACCGCUAGGUGUGAUAAUACUGUCUAUGCCUUUGGUUAUGCCAGAAUGUGCUGCUUCCAACCACACAAUUUUUGACAA
rnacentral:misc_RNA from 1 species